ACUGCAGGGGAGUUCCCCACUUUGUGGACAGGGAAGAGAGGUUUCCCUAAGGAGGUCAGGAUCGGAUAUGAGUCACGGGGCAGCCAUUUUGGAAGGAAGACAUUUGUCAACCAGGAAGCUGUAAUUCAAAAUGUGGACUUAAGCAAGAGGAAACACCCAGCUCUCCCUUGGAUCCAGGUUUCAAGAAGCACUCACCAGAUAACUGCAUGUAUCAGAUUGCAGCCACUGAGAAACAGCAACAUUUAGAGAUCUCUACAGCAUAGAUGAAUUUGGGAUGAAGCCUCUCUUUUGUAGAGAUUCGCUCACCAUCACCAACAUUAAAAGAUGAGGCUUUCUUUUGUUAAGCACUGGAGGGAUUCUGAAGUCCUAAAGCAGCUGACAGAGGUGAAGGUCAUCAGAUACAGAAGACAUCCUGAGGCCAGCUCCCAUCCACUGACUGCCCUCUGCAGCCUGGAUUCCUGCCUCAGCUUAUACCUGCGGAAGGUAGGACAACCGUUACAAAGGUGAGGUACCAACCUGGCCACUACCUUGGUGUCAGACUUGAUCACAGGGACCAUCUUCUAAGACAAACAGUCACUUCUUGAGACACUAUUUAGGGGAGGAAGGGGGAAGAAUUUCUCCCAGACUUUGUGCCUGUGGGAAGUUGGUAGGAAUUCACGCAGAGCUGAGGGCUGCAGUGAUGGUCUAGCCGGAGGCCCCAGAUCAAGAAAGGCCAAGAGUCCUGAACAGGGCCCUGCCCUAGUGCCGUCGGGUACGUGAACACAAGUCCUCACAGUAACCCUCUGAAUCAGCCAGGCGUGAUGGUGCACACCUGUGGUCUCAGCAGCUCAGGAGGCUGAGGCAGGAGGAUGGCUUGAGCCCAGGAAUUUGAGGCUGCAGUGAGCUGUGAUUGUGCCACUGUGCUCCAGCCUGGGCAACAGAGCAAGACCUUGUCUCUAAAAAAUAUUGAUAAUAAUAAUAGUAAACGUUUGAGCAGACAUAAGAC
rnacentral:lncRNA from 1 species